AAAAUAUAAAUAGAUAGGACUAUAUCUGAUUACGGAUCAGCUAGAUUAUAUUUUU
rnacentral:tRNA from 1 species